CUUUGUCAUGAUGAUGUAUUGUGUGUGUGUAGAGUGAGGAGGAAAAAGAUUGAUAUUACUAUGUGAAAUUGAUUAUAUAAUGCAACAAAGUUUUGAAAAUGUGCAAGGGGUGUGUAGACUUUCUGAAGGCAUCGUAUGAGUGCUCAAGCCACCCAGCUGUCUGUGUCAUUCCAGUCUUUUGUUUCUGUGUUAUACUUAGUUUGUAACAAUUAACAUUUAAUGUGCAACGCAAAAAUAGGGUUUCUUAAAUCAAUUUUCAACAUAAUUUUUCCCCCCAAAUGUAUGUUUAAGGUGGAUAUUAAUUGUAGAGAAGAGAAUAUUUAAUAGUUUUCUUUAGAUAAUUUAAAUUCAAUUGGCCCUACACAGCAGUGAAAUGUUUUUGUUCAAUCUGUAGAUUCAGAGAUGGUCUUUCAACCCUGGAGUUUUUGAAUGCACUACAGCAACACCCUACUUUGCUGGCCCCUGUCCUGUACCACUCUGAAAGUCGAAUCACUGCUUCUGAACUUGAGAGACUCUUCAAAACUGACCUCAGUCCUUCGGGGAGUAAUCGAAGACUUAAAGAAAGUCAAACCAUGGCCUACUGGGCAGACUAUCUCCUUGAUUGUGAAGAAGACCAGGCUGCUGUGUCUGUGGAAGAUGUUUUGAUGUUUGCUACUGGGCUGUCCUCACUUCCCCCAUCUGGCUUGGAACCACUGCCACAAAUAGAGUUCCUGGAUGACUCUGUGUUCCCAAUGGCAAAUACAUGUUCAAACACUUUGAAAUUACCACUCCUAGACUCAUACACUUUGUUUAAGUCACAAAUGGACUUUGGAAUUCAAAAUAGUCCAGGAUUUGGCUGUUUCUAAGCUAUACGAUGGAUGACCCCUAGAGUUAAGACUCUGGUCCGAAACGCAUGACCAGCGUGAGCCUACGUGUGACGUACAACAGAAGCGCUGUGCUACGCAAACUCACUCGAGGCCCACAGCGAAGGAAAUUAAUAGUUGAAUGAAGUCGUUAUUUUUGUUUGUUUUUGCGCACAAAAAGUAUUCUCGUCGCUUGAUAAACUUAAGAUUGAGUCACUGUAGUCACUCGGACUAUUUUAAUUAUAUCUAAUAACUUUUCUGGGCCAGCAAGUUUCGAUCCCUUAGAAGCCUAUGGAGGAGUGAUCCAGUUCUCAGAUUUAAUCAAAAAUAUCUUAAUUUGUGUUACGAAGAUGAACGAAAUUCUUAUGGAUUUGGAACAACAUGAGGGAGAGUAAUUACUGACAGCAUUUUCAUUUUGGGGUGAACUAUCCCUUUAAAAGUGCAGUUGCCAAAGUUGUUUUUAUAAUGUUACAGUAUGUGAGCAGAUUGUUCUUUUCUCAGUUAACAUUUUGAAAAUGUUUUAGAUCCAUGACUCUCAAACUGGGAUCUCUUUGUGAAUCACUUGUUUUAGAUAAAGAAACCAGAAAAUUUAUUGUUUCUUUACUACAAAGUGUAAUAAAUGCUCAUUACUGUUUU